GGGAAAAUGGGUUUCAAAUGUUUUGAGAACUUUCACCGUGAUCAAAAUGGCAUUUUCUAGCACACAUCUCAGCGCGAAUCCAUGCAGAGGGAGGGAGCCUCAUUCGGAUCAGCAUCUCAGAGCCACACAUGUUAGAAUCCGAAGGGGUUUUAGGAAUAACACCCUCCAUCCAGCACCUGGUCGUCCCCUCUCACAGAGCAGACCUCAGAGAAGGCCAUCAGACGUCACCACCGCCUUCUGGAAACUUGCAAUGGAAAACAGACACACCAGAGGUAGCAUCCGAAAAGACCACAGGAGAUGCCGCGUCCAAUCUCGGUUCCAACAGGGACAGAGGUGAGCAGACCAGCACUUUCUUAAAUGACUCUGGCUGCUGUGCGGAGAAUGGAUGGAAGGCGGAGCCAGUGCAGAGGCCACCACAGAGUGGAGCCUGGGACAUGGGGAGCUGGGCAUGCCCUGGAGACACCCAGGUAGACGCGGUGGGGCAGCAGGGCACCUGGGUCUGGUACUCAGGGGUGAGAUGACAGAUGAAUGACUGAAGGGACUGGAUGAGGGGAUAGAUGCGUGAGUGGCUGCUGCUGCUGGGGCCAGGGAGAGAGGGGCCGGCUGUCCUGUCCUUGGAGUGAGCUCUCCCAAGGAGGUAGGGGACUCUCCGUGAGGGAGCCCUGGACGGCCCUGCCUCUCCUUCCACCUCCCUUUCAGGUCUAGAACAUCACCGCUAACGUCGUGCAGUUCCAGGGAGAGAGCAGCAUUGGCGGGAAGGGAUGAAGGCAGUGUGGGGCAGACUCCGGGGCGGAGGAGGGGGCGGGGCACGGAGGCGGCCUGGGAGCCCCUCCCUCUGUCUGUUUGCACAGCUGUCCAGGCCGAGCUGGCAGGGUGAGUCACAGGCUGGCACUCCACCUCCUCCACCUCUAGGGGAGGGCAACUUGGUGACCCUGGCCUUGGGGACCCUCCUCCUCUCUCCCUCCUCCCCUGCCUCUCUGAGCCCCACGAACUGUGCCCCUGUGCCCUCUCCUCCCAGCCACCUCCCAAGGCCUAGAUCUGGUUUCCCAGAUCCCCUCCACUCUGUCACUUUCCCCCCUGGAUGCACGGCCCUCCUCUGUCCCUCAUGUCCCAUCCCAGCUGCAUUAGAGUCACUCGUUUCCAGUCCCUGCAAGACGGCGAGCAGUUGAGGACACACUGUGGGCAGCUCUGGACACAUCUUUCCACUCUCUCGUCCCGCACACACUCAGUGCUUAAUGAACGUUCGGUGCAUUGAAUUAAACCUGCUUGAUUCACAUUUCUUGAGCUGGGAGGAAGAUCCAUCUCUUUCUCUGAUCUGACGGUGCUCAGGCUGGGGCAGGGUGGGGGACUUCUUCCCUGGGAGACCUGCCCCAGCUCUGGACGAUUGAGGAAGAUUUUUAUCACCAGGUUCCUAGUCUGCAAAAUGCCCCACCCAGCCUGUCUCCCAGCCCCCAGCCCCCUCCCCAGGUGCACAGAGAUCUCCCCUCUGGGACUCCCACUGCGCUAGCCUGGGGCCAAAGGCACAGUGUCUCCUGCCUGGGAAAGAGAGGGCCACCCUCCCUCAGUGUCAGUGACGGUUUACCCACUCGGCUUCCUGUUAGGUUUCUCCUUCCUUCCUUCCCCACCAGGCAUCUCUAAUCUUAAGCUUCUUAGGGG
ensembl:lncRNA